GUCAGUAUGGUGGAGUGGUCAACACGCUAGACUUGAAUUUAAAAUUCAUGCUAUCUAGUUCCUUCGGGAGCCGAGGUUCGAACCCUCGUGCUGACG